rnacentral:rRNA from 1 species
CACUGACAUUAGAUACCCGGGUAGUCCCAGCCGUAAACUAUGCUCGCUAGGUGUCAGGCAUGGCGCGACCGUGUCUGGUGCCGCAGGGAAACCGUGAAACGUGCCGCCUGGGAAGUACGGUCGCAAGGCUGAAACUUAAAGGAAUUGCGGGGGAGCACCACAACAGGUGGAGCCUGCGGUUUAAUUGGACUCAACGCCGGGAAGCUCACCGGAUAAGACAGCGGAAUGAUUGCCGGGCUGAAGACUCUGCAUGACUAGCUG